rnacentral:lncRNA from 1 species
UAGGGACAGUCUCUUGUCCAUCUAGCUUCUUCCAUGACUUCUUUUUUGCCCUCCUUUUUAUUUUAUACUUAUUUUCUUUUGGCUUGCUUUAAAUAAAAUCUUCUCUUGCACCUUUGUGUUAUUAUUUUUUGUCUGGGUUUCUUUUUUUUCCAUCUCUCUUUUUGUCAUCACUUUCCUCCAUUCCUGAUCUGCAUUGCUGUUUUUCUCCUGGGCUUUGUGUGUGUGUCUGUUUUCCCGUGUUCUGGGGUGCUGUCUCAGUUUUUCAGGCUUAGUCGCCUUCCUAAUUUCUCCUUUUAUGUGGAGAUGGGCGGGGAUGGCAGGAGCCAUAGAGUGCCCUUAGCGACAUCAUGGAAACUGAU